rnacentral:rRNA from 1 species
UGGCAGUCAAGCGGCAGCGCGGGGGCAACCCUGGCGGCGAGCGGCGAACGGGUGAGUAAUACAUCGGAACAUGUCCAGUCGUGGGGGAUAACCUGGCGAAAGCCAGGCUAAUACCGCAUGAGCUCGGGAGAGGAAAGCGGGGGACCGUAAGGCCUCGCGCGAUUGGGUUGGCCGAUGUCCGAUUAGCUUGUUGGUGAGGUAAAGGCUUACCAAGGCGAUGAUCGGUAGCUGGUCUGAGAGGAUGAUCAGCCACACUGGGACUGAGACACGGCCCAGACUCCUACGGGAGGCAGCAGUGGGGAAUUUUGGACAAUGGGGGCAACCCUGAUCCAGCCAUUCCGCGUGAGUGAAGAAGGCCUUCGGGUUGUAAAGCUCUUUUGUCCGGAGCGAAGCGGUUACGGUGAAUAUCCGUGACUACUGACGGUACCGGAAGAAUAAGCACCGGCUAACUACGUGCUAGCAGCCGCGGUAAUACGUAGGGUGCGAGCGUUAAUCGGAAUUACUGGGCGUAAAGCGUGCGCAGGCGGGCUUUUAAGCCAGACGUGAAAUCCCCGGGCUUAACCUGGGAAUGGCGUUUGGGACUGGGAGUCUGGAGUGCGGCAGAGGAGACUGGAAUUCCUGGUGUAGCAGUGAAAUGCUUACAUAUCAGGAGGAACACCGAUGGCGAAGGCAGGUCUCUGGGCUGACACUGACGCUCAUGCACAAAGCGUUGGGGAGCAAACAGGAUUAGAUACCCUGGGAGUUCACACCCUAAACGAUGUCGACUGGUUGUUGGGGGGUUUGACACUCUUCAUAACUAAACUAAC